ACGAAGGAUCCAAGCGUUGUCCGGAUUUACUGGGUUUAAAGGGUGCGUAGGCGGAGUGCUAAGUCAGUGGUGAAAGCCCGCAGCUUAACUGCGGAACUGCCAUUGAAACUGGCAUUCUUGAAUACGGUGGAGGUAGAUGGAAUAUAACAUGUAGCGGUGAAAUGCUUAGAUAUGUUAUAGAACACCGAUUGCGAAGGCAGUCUGCUACACCGUGAUUGACGCUGAGGCACGAAAGCGUGGGGAGCAAACAGGAUUAGAUACCCUGGUAGUCCACGCCCUAAACGUUGAUUACUCGCUGUUGGCGAUACACUGUCAGCGGCUAAGCGAAAGCGUUAAGUAAUCCACCUGGGAAGUACGUCCGCAAGGAUG
rnacentral:rRNA from 1 species